ACCCAGAUGGGUAACUCUAACAGGAAUGGCAGUGCUUUAGGAUUUGAUGUUCACGAAGAAAGUGGAAUUCCUGAGCAAUGCAGAGGAAGGUAAUGGGGAUAAUAAGGCAAAGCAAGGAGAGCAGCUGGGGGAAGUGAGGGAAAGGCUGAAAGGAAAAGAACAGGCAGCAUGCAGGGCACCUUAUAGUGCAGUAAUGAGCUCUAGGAGCACUAUAUUGUGCCACUCUGUGUAGUGGAUAACCAUCUAUGUGUAUACGUUCCCUUUGCCUGUCUGCGCAACCAGCAGCCGCACAGCAAAGGCGGCUUCCGGGGCACUGCUGGAAAUGCCUCGGAGCGGUUCUCGCACCUCCCGACAGCGCUGCGGCUCUGCUGCCACCUGCUGGACGCCGGUCGGUACUGCAGGCACUGCCCCAGCAAGGGUCCCUGGUGUAUUCCAGGCACCGGAGACGUGCAGUGGUUUCUCCUGGGGCUCCUCAGUGUUCUCUAGGCUGCUCUAGAUGCUUCCCAGAGCGUCCUAGAGGCCUCUCAAGAGCCAACCUAUGUGCUCAGAGAAACGCUAGUGUGCUUCCAGAGCUCCUGUAUGUGUUCUCAGGAGGGUUCCAAGUGUGCCCUAGAUGCCUCCAAGAUGCCCCCAGCAUAAUCUGAGGAAUCCUGGAGUACUCCCAGAGCUCCUCAGUGUUCACUAGGAUGCUGUAGAAGUCUCACAUUGUGCCCUAGAGGCUUUCAAGGACACCCCAGUGGACCCCCUCAGCCCCGGCGCUGAGCCAAUCGGAUGCCGCGAUAGGCGCAGGGGUGGCUGAGAGCCAAACCGGUCCGUUCCCGGCACUGAGCGCUCCCCUGAUCUGAGUAGCGAGCGUAAAUCCAUGCAAGUACCACUUGCUUUGGUGCAUGCGCACUGCUGCCGGAGGACCAGUCACCAUAGAGCGGUGGUUUCUCUGUGCAGAGCAGCUAGAAGUCAGACGUCACUUCCGGCUUCCUGUGCACACGCGUCUUACUGCCUGGAGGCUCAAACACCAUAGAAGUUGGCGGACUCGAGGCGCAGAGCGGCUACAUGCAAAUUACGGAUGCGCUGAGCCAAUCGGCGGCCGCGCGGAGGCAGCGAUGAGUUAAAGCGGGUGCGUGUGUGGUACGGUGAGGAGGACCAAAGACCAUAGAAACUGGCGGACUCGCAGCGCAGAGCGGUGGGAGGAAGGCGAUGGGUUUUCCGCGUUUCAGCGCGCAUGCGUGUCACUGCCUGGAGGACCAAACACCAUAGAAAUUGGCGGGCUUGCGGCGCAGAGCGUUCAGAACAGGGAGGUACUUUUCAUAGGAGGUGUGGAAGAAAUGUGAGAAAGAGGUGUCUUAGAUGAGAGGAGACGACUGGACUAUGUGGAUCAAGGGAGAAGAGUUGAGUUGUGUGUUCUAGAAUACAAAAGUGACUUUGUUGUACAGUUUCAUCGGCCUGAUGAUUCUCUGCUGGAAAUCAGUGGAUGACUCAAAGCAAAGACAAAAGGCAGCCAAGUGUCAGACAGCAAAAGACAACACCGUUUUUCUUUCUUCAUGACAGCUGGGAUGAACAUUUGCAAGAUACGGAUCCAAAUGUUUCUGUACGUAAAACUGUUUGUCACCUGGUGAUCAGCUAUGCCUGUUUGUUACCAUGACCAAACAGUGAGUCCUCAUUUUGAUUCAUCAAGAACUUUGCCCUUUGUUGUGAACUAAAGUACUACUAAAACCUGACAGAGCAAGAACUAAGUUGUUCAAAAGGAUACUGAGUCAUGGUGCAGGAAACACUGAUUAUUAUGCCCAACUUGUUUUCACAUACAUGUGUGCAUGUGCAUAAUAGGUAGAUGUAAGCUCAUUGCUUGCCUUGCAAGGAACUGCUGUAUUUUGUAAGACACAUAGCAAGCAACUUCUCUUAUAUAGCAAGCAUAAUAAGUAAACUUCCCUUUGGUUUCAAUUUCUACAUCCAAAAUAUUUACAGGGACUAUUGAAAUCUGUCUAUCAACUCCUAGGCAAGGCCCUAGACAUUUUUCUAGCUGUUGCGUAAGAAACAACAAAUCUCAGUUUAUGUGGUGCAUGAGAGCUGGCACUGAUUUUCCUAGGAAGCACUGCAACUGUUCUGGUUUGGGCUGCGUUAGAGUUAAUUUUUCAUAGUGAGUGGUAUAUGUCCCUUAAAGAUAAUGCCUUUUCACAGUAUCUGUCUUAUUUUUAAAAGCAUUAAUUAAGAGGAAAGGCAGACAGCAGUAAAAGUAUGUCCACAAUUAACAUAGGAAAAUACUAAGCUCAUGUAAAAUGACUGUAGCGUGCUUUCUGUUGCUUUAUGAUGGAAAACAGAUCUGUACUAUCUGCACACAAAAAGGAGGAAAGCAUUAUUUAAAGUCUCUAAUAGCAUAUUAAGCUGGAGGAAAUUUUAAAUGAUUAGCCUAAUUAGUCUACUUCUUAACAAGGAUCAAGUAAGUUACUAAUGUAGAAAUGAGUAAGGCAGAAGGUUUGUACCUUCUAAGAAGCAUGGCUGCCCUUUAAGCUGCCAUCUGAAUCCACAGUCUCUCCUCUUAGAAUAAGGAAGUUAAGAUCUGGCACUGCUUCAGUUCAAUAAAAAACAAAAUAAUUUGGAUCUUGAUCCCCAAUUUAUCCUGUAGCUAUCUGAGAAAUUCUUUCCUUAUUAACAGAGAAAGAAGGAAGUAACUGUAGAAACUGCUUUAAGGCAGCUGCCUAGAAUUUUUCGUGGUAAUGAGCUCUGUUCAUAGACUUUAAAAAGUUUAAUUAAAUACAGAUGAAUGACAUUUCCUACUUUCGUAAAACUAUAGAUCGGCAUUUGUAAGAGCUCAUGAAGGCAUCCAGUCCUUGUCCUAAUUAGCCACGGUAGUUUAAAGCAAAAAAAAGUAGUGCUGGAGGGGGGGGAGGGGAUCUACUGUUGAUUUAUCAAUUAUGGUAUUUUCUAUUAUACCAAAAUGAUGCAGAAAGGCUUUGAAAUCCAUCAUCCCAAUGCCAGUUUCUGCAGUUAUGAAAAAAAUGCCUAUACUGACAACAAAGUCCAUUUCAUGCUCUUGUAUUCCACUUGACCUUCUAUCUUCUCAGUUUAAGGAUUGUGGCCUGAGGCCACCGCCGUGUCAGUCACCCACAUGUUAACUCUGGCAACAAACCAAGUAUUGAAUUCUUGCAGAAACGCCGAAAAGAUCGUUAGAAAAAAAGAAAAGCUUAUGUGUACAUACAUACUAUGGUAAGUCUACCUCAUGAGUCUCAUGCUGCACCUUUUGUGAGAUCUUCAGCAAAUAAAUGAAAUCUUAUGCAAAAGUUCACAUGUGGUUUAACGAAAUGUACAUAAAAACAAUUGUCUGCUUACUCACAAGGAGCACUUCUGGCUGCACUUUUGUCGAGAGAAUGAUUCUCAAUGGGCCCCAUGAAUCUCAGCCUGAGUGUUGGCUGAUACAAGAAGGUGAACAUGUAACACAAUGAGAUCUACUGCUGCACAGCUGCCUCCCAGCAGAGAAUGCAUUACAGUGCUCACGUGCGUUUGUAUGCUUGCAAACUCAGUCAGCUCAGUGGUAUUUGUUUUCUAUUAUCUAGAAGAGCAUUUGAGUGAGCAAACCCAGAAGGUGGGUUUGAGGACGGACCGGGCUGCAAGCUUCCAACCUGCGUAGUACAGAAGGACUCUCAGCAACUGGCCCAAGAGGAAACUGAAGAUGACUUGGUCCUGUGCUGUAGUAACAACACUUCACUGCUUUGGAAAAACAAUAAAAAGAAGAAAGAAAAAAGAAAGCAUUGAGAGUUCCAACACCAUAAAAAGAUAAGAAACAGAAUGUAUUUUGAGUGAAAGUGGAAAAGUCUUGUGUUACGCAACACAGUCAUGCAGAAAUCUCCAAAACAGGUGUGUUCAUAACAGCAUGGCACUGAGCAUGGAUUAAUUCAUUACAGCUGAGAUACUCCUAGGUUCUGAUUGGAAUAGUUUGUGGGUACAUCUUCUCACAGAUGUUCCAGCUCAGAUAUGUUACUGCCUCAGGCCUGCACUUGUACCAUUGGUUCUUGUGGUUUGGCUGAACUGGAGCAAGAGGAACAGAAAGACACAAGGAUUGUUUGCAAAGAAAAACAUAUAGAGGGGGAAAGUAGAAGCAGUUAAACAAAUAAAGAGGUAUUGAAGAGAAGGAAAAUCAAUGAGUCAUAAGUGAACAUGGACGAACUUUCAGAGGAAGUGAUGCAUGCAUGUAGAUGGAUAUUGGAUAUUACAUAGAGGGUAUUUCAAUGCUGGCAUUUGAUUUGAAAGAACAACCAGGCAGGUCCACUUUCUCUCCCUACUAAUUUACAUGAGAUUACUAACUCUCCUCUAAUUUGUAUUAGGACAUUUCAAAGCUCUGCGUGAUUUCCAAAGGCAAUUUGUGCCAAUGGGAAGGUAUACACACAGCAUAUGAAUGAGUACAAGGGAACUUGAUCAAAAUUCCAGUCUCAUGUAUUUUUUCUGAACACUUGCUGCACUCCUUUCAGAUCUGGAAAAUUGCAGGCUGACAUAUCUCUGGAUUUUUUAUGUUGUGCUUCUUUUCUCCUAAGAUCUACGCCCUACUGGUUCUGGGAAACUUGUGACCUCUGCAUUUUUAAUUAGAACUUGUAACAUUUUCCAUAGCAACAUAUUUUGAUGUCGCAAAUACAGAACCUGUCAAAUCAAACAAUUUCAAAGUGCAAAGCUACGGCCUUCUGGUCAAUUGAAGUCCAAGUACAUGAAAACACUGAGAUGCAAGGAAGACUGAAAAUUAUUUGUUGGUUAACUCAUAGCUUUGAUCUUCAUAAUUAAUAAAUCAGUACAGAUAUAAAAGAAUUACAUUGCAUGCUGGAGUGGUUUAGAUGAACUCAGUACUAAUUUCAUCGCACGUGAGAGCAGAUAGAAUCCAUCUGUCUGACUGGUGUGCCAGUACUAACAUGGUACAAAGGAGAGGAUCUAUUUCUAGGAAAUAGUCGAGAUGUGGAACAAACUUCACUCACAUGAUGAGCUGUGUGAGCAGGAAGUGAAGAAAACAGAAAUCCUCUGAAACGAGGCCUGAGCUCAGAUUUCAACAGACCCACAAUAUGAGCAGGAAUAAUAAUAAUGGGUUAAGAAAAGCAGUGUAACUUAGCACUUAAAUAUGUAUAUUAAAAAUAAGUCAUUUAUUUAUGAUACAUGCCCUGCAAGUGCCAAAUAAUACUUCUGUCAAGUCUGAAGAACAUAAACUGAGAAUUUUUGUCAUUCAGAUAUACUUAUCUUUCCUUUUCCUGCUUUAAGCUAAGACUAAUGGCCAAGGAAGUCAUAUUUUCCUGCCAUUACUAAGACUGCACAAGGUAAUUUGCCCCUCUGCAAGGACAUCCACGUGUAACUGUUAGUCACACCAGCAGCCACGAGAUAUGGAUAUGAUCAUCAAGUCUUAUUAAAACAAAUGCUGAAUACCAUGAACCUUUCAGGAGGAAAAGGCAAGUGUCAAUGUGGAAUGCGGUAAGAACUUUCUUGUUUCUGGUAGCAUUGGGUAUGUGACUGCUAUCCCUUUUCUUAUUCCAUCUAUUUCCACUUUUUACAAAAAAAAGCAAAAAACAAAAAAACAACCCAAAACAACCCAACCCACUGGAAUAUUAAGUUAGUAUUAAGUUAAAUGUGGUAUGUUUUAACCUUGCAUUGCAGAUAAGGAAUUCCUGGAGUUCCUCAAUCCUGCAUGAUUGCAGGCAGCUCACCUGAGUGUGCAUAAGGGAAAGGGGAACAAAAAUAUAAGAUUUUUCUGUUUCCUACCAAUUAUCUGAUAUUUCCCCUCUACUGUCUUUGGUGUAAAAGAAAACCAAAGUUCAGCCUUCUAGGAAAUGUAUUCUGGUAACCUGAAAGACUUUAUAAAUAGAGUGCACAAAUAGAUGACAGUAAUUCCAUGACAUAGAUUUUCUGCUUUAGAAUGAAAUGCUUCAUUUGAAAAAGCUCCUAAAAUUGUUAGAACAGUAAUUAAAAAAAAAAAAAAAGUUUAAACUCCACAAUUGAAUACAAAAAACGUUGCUGUGAAGGUUUUGAUUUCCAAGAAAUCCAUUUUAAACUUAUUUACAAAGUUUACAUAGAAGAAUAGAUCUGCUGCUAUCUAUAACAUUCACUUCUGUAGUAGAACAGCUAAUUUGCGACUAUUGGAUGAGAGAUACAGAAAGAGUCACUUUAGUGAAAGAAAAAAAAAACAUAUUAUUUUAAGGACAAAUAGUAAAAAAUGAUUGUUUUGGAGUUUAGAGAAACAGAGUUUGAAGGAUUUUGCCCUCCAAUGCAGACUGCUCAUGCUUAUGCUGUAGCAAAGGAGGAGCAUCUUGACUACAAGAGUCUUAGUGGAAGAAAACUGGCAAUGCCUUUAUAAAAAUGUAUUUAAUUUCUGUGUUUGCAGUUUUCCCAGCUUCAUCCCUAGGUCCUGGCCUCAAGGGCCCUAGAGAUGUCACAGUUUUAAACAGUCUUAUAAAUCUAGGAGGGGAAAUGAGCUGUCUCUCAUCUUAAACAGAGAGCCUUGGAGAAUGUCUAUGGGGCUUUACCAAUGGAGCUGCCGAAAACAAAGCUAUGAUUCAGGGGUCUCUGACCUUUCCCAGCCCUCCUCCACCAGUGUCAGCCUGCAGCCUGCUCUUUAAAAGUUUCUGCUCACCCAGGGAGCAAAAUUAGAAAUCUUCUCCAGGGACAAUUUUUCUUCCAUCAAGCCACUCAUCAGCCCACUGAGGCAUGGAAACCAAAAAGGAAAAAGUGAGUUAAAAGAAUGUAUGUCUCUUGGUAAGGAUUUCCCACAGCAGAGUGUAAGUGUCCAGACUACCUCAUCAGCAGAGUCCCAGCCUUUACUAUACGUCUUGGUAUUCAGUCUGUACUGUAGUGGUAUAGAAAAGUGCCAAGCACUGUGCAGGUGAUGCAUGCAUCAAUACAGCAGAUGUGGAGGUGUGUUUGAACUGCUUAACAUCAGCACUUACCAAAUGUUGAAGACACUCUAGCCCCUACGACAAAUAAAAGCAUUCAUUCAGAUGUGCAUGGCAUUUCAGGAAUGGAAUCAUUAUUAUCUUCUCCGAAAAUGUUUUGUCUUAUGUUUAAUAUAAUAUAAUAUAUAUUGCUUAUUGGAAACAAAUCCUUGUUAGUCUCGUUGUUUGUUUGUUUCCUAAUUGUGGAUUACCACAGAACAGGGUACAGUUCAUAAAUACCUCAAAUAUCUGAAAGGUGAUUGCAGCAGAGCAGG
ensembl:lncRNA